rnacentral:rRNA from 1 species
GACGAACGCUGGCGGCGUGCUUAACACAUGCAAGUCGAGCGGAAAGGCCCUGCUUUUGUGGGGUGCUCGAGUGGCGAACGGGUGAGUAACACGUGAGUAACCUGCCCUUGACUUUGGGAUAACUUCAGGAAACUGGGGCUAAUACCGGAUAGGAGCUCCUGCUGCAUGGUGGGGGUUGGAAAGUUUCGGCGGUUGGGGAUGGACUCGCGGCUUAUCAGCUUGUUGGUGGGGUAGUGGCUUACCAAGGCUUUGACGGGUAGCCGGCCUGAGAGGGUGACCGGCCACAUUGGGACUGAGAUACGGCCCAGACUCCUACGGGAGGCAGUAGUGGGGAAUAUUGCACAAUGGGCGGAAGCCUGAUGCAGCAACGCCGCGUGCGGGAUGGCGGCCUUCGGGUUGUAAACCGCUUUCGCCUGUGACGAAGCGUGAGUGACGGUAAUGGGUAAAGAAGCACCGGCUAACUACGUG